GAAAUGCGAUAAGUAAUGUGAAUUGCAGAAUUCAGUGAAUCAUCGAAUCUUUGAACGCACCUUGCACUCCUUGGUAUUCCGAGGAGUAUGCUUGUUUGAGAGUCUUGUAAUCAUCAAUCCUCCUUAACUUUUGUGAAGGGUUGGCUUGGAUUUGGGGAUUGCUGGCCUUUCAUUAGGUUUGGCUUCCCUUGAAUGCAUUAGUUGGAUCAAGUUGCAACGUUUACGUGUGGUGUGAUAAUAUCUUCACUGCAUAGUUGUAAUGAAGUUUGGCUUCUAACAGUCCUUCACUGGACAAAAUACUUUGAACAAUAUACCUCAAAUCAAGUAGGACUACCCGCUGAACUUAA
rnacentral:misc_RNA from 1 species